AGAAGGGAGAGGAACAGGAAAAGGGAGACUUGCACUGUGAGGUGGCAGCCGGGAGCCAGGGUUAUGUCUCAGUUUUUCUCCUGGUGGGCUGCAGUCAUGACAGGGCCCCGUCAACCCUGGUCUGCCUGCCUCACAGCUGGUCACGAGUGAAUGGGACACUUCUCCAGCUCUUUGGUGACAUGUGUCUGCCUGCCCAGCUACCUCACUAGAUCCGCUUUGAUAAAGUGGCAUCAGGCAUUGGCAGCCCCUCCUGGCAUGUCUUCAGAGGAAGAGAGAGAAGUUCCACAGGGCCAUCCAUACACGUACUGGUACAGGGAUGAUUACAGGCCAGGCCCUGGAGGACCUCACUCUUUUUGGAAUAGACUUUCUGCUCUCUUUUCACUUCCCUUCUUAUUAUAGGAGAGCUCGGCUAAGGCUGAACCACAUGUCUGGAUGGAUCGGAAUGGAAAAACAAUACCAGAAGGGAAGUCAAGGUCAGAAGGAGGAGGCUGUCCUCUCCAGUGGAACAGACCAAUAGUGAAAGGACAAGAGACAUUUCUAAGUCCCUUGCUUGAUAAGCAAAACUGACAAAGAAGAUAACUGUAAAUAAUUGGUCUUUUCAUAUCAACUCAGAAAUGUACAACCCUCACCAGUAUCUGUUCCUGGGUCAAAUAAAGAGAAACAAAAAUUCCCUCAAGAA